AUUAAUGAAACACAUUUAUCAAACUUAUCUGAAUUGAAAUAUUUUGAUGUGACUCAAAAUUCACUUUCAUUCAACUUGAGUUCAGAUUGGGUUGCACCUUUCAAACUAGAAAUACUACAUGCAUCGUCAUGCCCGCUGGGUCCUAAAUUCCCAACAUGGCUCAAACAUCAAAGGGGGCUUACUUAUCUAAAUAUUUCUAAUUGUGGUAUUUCAGAUUCAUUUCCUAAAUGGUUUGGGAAUUUAUCUUCAAGUUUGAAAUACUUGGAUUUUUCCCAUAACAAACUCAAUGGACCCUUGCCAAAAUCCUUACCAAGUCUGAAUGUAAAUUAUGAUGAUAUUCGGGUGUGGGAUUUUAGUUUCAACAAUUUGAAUGGUUCAGUGCCUCCUUUUCCAGAGUUGUACGCUCUAUUUCUCUCAAAUAAUAUGUUUACAGGGACCCUGUCUUCUUUUUGUUCAUCCUCAUCUCAAAGUUUAAUUCAUUUAGACUUGUCUAGUAAUAUGUUAGUGGGGCCAGUUCCAGAUUGUUGGGAGAAGUUUCAAUCUUUAAGAGUUCUAAAUUUGGCAGAGAAUAAUUUCUCAGGGAAAGUACCCAACUCACUUGGUGCUCUAGAAAAUAUUGAAUCACUCCAUUUAAAUAAUAACAACUUCUCCGGUGAAAUUCCAUCUUUGAUCCUUUGUCAAAACUUGAAAUUAAUUGAUGUUGGAGAUAACAAUCUNUUUUUAUUAAAAUUUUCAGAUUAUUUUUUAUUUUAUUAAAUUUUCCAGAAUUUUUUUAAUUUGUUUAAUCAUAUUUUUUAUUUUAAUUAAUUUUUUCGUUAUUUUUUUUAUUUUUCAUUUUUAUUAAUUUUUCCAUAAGUUAUUUAAUUUUUUAUGUUUUUUUUGUUUUUUAUUUUUUUUUAAAUCACAAAUGUCACGUGUACCCUUUAAAAAAAAUAAAAAAUAAAAAAAAUUAUACAGUCAGCGUCCAUUACACAUGUGUCAGGUUUUAAAAAAAUAAAAAUAAAAAUAAUUACAUGGCGGCGUGCCACAUCAGCGUCUGAAUGGGGUCAAAGAUGUUUUGUGGAGAAUCUUAAUAUUAUAGGGGUGUUUUGUGAAGAAUCUUCAUAUUAUAGGAUUGAAAUCUAAACUUUUAUUUUUACAGGAGGUAAAUCGGAACUCGCCCACAUUACCGUGGUAAAGACAUAUUAACCAUUAAAUAAAUUUGAAAAACAAGAAGGCAUAAAGUCCAAUGAAACAAUACAGUUAUUCUGGAUUUCAAUGGAAACAAUAUUAUUGUAUGCACAACGAUUGUCUUUUAGGAAGAUAUGGGAAAUAAUGAAUCAGAUAUUUUGAAUUAAACUCAACAAAGUUCAACCACUUAUUUCUUAACCUCGAACGAACCGGGCUCUGAUUCUUGAAAGCAAGAGUAACCAGUUGAGCUGCCUGCUUGACACUACUUAUAAAUUUUAAGACAAUGUAGAUGUAUGGUUUAAAAAAUGGUGUACCUAAAACAAUAAAAUUUACGGACAAUAUUAUAAAUUUCUCCUGUUGAGCAAUUUACGGACAAUAUUAUAAAUUUCUCCUGUCGAGGAAAGCUCAACAGGGAGCCAGUGCUACUGUGGUCAAUGGGAUCUACCACAAUAACGAACACUGAAAAAAGGUUUCAAAAAGUUAGAUUAGUUGGGGGAAGAUUUUGAUUUUUUUUUGUUUGUUGAAAUUUGGCUUUAAAUUUAUGGUUUAAAAGAAUAGAGAAAUUGUGACACGAUUGUGGCAUCGUGACACAAUUUUGUAAUGUCGUGAGUUGGUUUGCAGGGUGUCAAAUCGUGGUACGAUUUUGUGAAAUCGUGACACGAUUUUCAAACUUGCUGGUUAAGUUUUCAGGAUAAGGUUGGUCGUACCUUUGGUCGUAUGUAUCAAUCGUGGCACGAUUUGGAAAACGUGGCACGAUUUUAUCAGCUGAAGACUGCUAAAUAAGUGUUUUUGUGCAGAUUUUGGAGGAGAGCUGGAAGAGAGAGAAACUUGGAUUACAAAGGAGGUAACUUUAGGGUUGAGUGUCUUUGUAUUUAGGAUCUCUUGGGUUGGGAAACAUUGUAAACACCUUGGGUAGUGAGAUUUCACCAUUGGAAGGAUCAAAAGCUUCCUUCCGUGUCUUCUCUUUAGGGUUCAUUAUUGAGAGAGAGUGGAACACAAAUGGGUAGAAAUUAGGUCUUGUUCUUGUAUAAGCUUGCAAGCUAUUUUCUUGUAACUCUUUGUAACACUUUCAUCAUAGUGGAUUGGAGAGCUGCUCUCUCCCCCAGAUUAGGUCAUAUUGGACCGAACUGGGUCAACAAUCUUUUGGUGUGUUUGUUCCUUCUUUCAUUGCUUAUCUUUGUUCUUUGUUUAUGCUUGUGGUGUUGCUCUACACUAGAUUAGGUCUGUUUUUGUUGUUGUUGCUUGGAGACACUUUACACAUUGAUUACCACUUCCUUUGCUCCACACUUCUUUGUUUUUCAUUGGUGUGAUUAUCAACCGGAACUCACAACAUUUUUUGUCCCUAAUUUGAUUCAAAUUGUACUUCUAAUACUCUCAUAUACGUUAAAAUCUCCCCACCUAUACAUUUUUUUUUGUCAAGUAGCCUGGCGGCUAGAGAAAUUCACCUUAAAUGUGAAUAAGUGAGGUGUUCGGGGUUCGAACCCCAACCCCUUCAUUUAUAUGUAUUAUCGCUUAUCAAGUGAGCUAAGCUUACAUGACAUUCCCCACCAAUACUUGUAAACGAGUGUAUUUAGGAUCUCAUUACCUUCAAUAAAAAAACAAAAACAAAAUUGUACUUUGGAUCUAAUGAGUAAAUAUUUCAUGGUAAAAAAAAAAAACGAAGAUGAGACUUUUCGGAAACUCAUAAUAGUACUUCAGUAAAAUUACAUUAUUUUAAUUAAAUUAAUUUUUUCAUAAGUUUUAGAUACAUAAUCAUAUAUUAAACUAAGGUGAUCGACUUCAUUUAAUAAUUCUACUGUGAUUUAAAGAAAAAUCAAGUGACUUAAUUUUUUUUUUUUUUGUGUUGGCCGAAGUUUGAACCCAGGACCUUGCAUAUUUUAAGAAUUGUACAUACCAACUGAGCUAAGCUCACGAGGACAAGUGACUAAAUCUUUAUAGAGAUAGUAUAAUUUUAAAUAAUAUUUUAUUAAUUUUAGUAGAGUAUGAGGCUUUUAUAUCAAGUAUUUUUUUUUUUUUUUUUUAUCAUUAGUAGAAUAUGAAUGAGGUCUUUAAUAAAAAAAAUAUUAAUUUUUCAUUUUGUUAGGUUUAAAACAAUUGUUUUGAGGACCUUACCUUUAGACNUACUUGAGUCCACAUCUAGGGAUCAUAGUGGUUUCAGGUCUAAGAGCGAUAUACACUAUUAUAAUUGUGAGAAUAUCUUAUGGCAAUCUCAUAACGUACUAUGUAGUAUUCUCACAGUGGAUCUAUCCAGUAUAAAUAUUACUCCUAAUAUUUAUACCUACAUAUAGACUUAAUAUCUCAUAUCUAUAACCCAUGAGAUGCAGUCAUCAGUCUACAUACAUAAUAUUCUCGACGCUUUAUUAUUAUCCUAAUUAUAUUAAAGCUUUACUACGGAUACAUUUAAUAAUAUUGUUCUUUAUGAUAAUGUAAUCUCAUGAUUAAGUCACACUUAAUAUAUUAUUACACGAACUAUCUAUUCUAAGAACUUUAUUAACAUUACUAUAAAUAUAAUAAAGAGUAUCAUAUAUUAUUCAAUAAUAAAAGUCAUCAUACAUAAGAUAAGUUUAACAUAAAUUAUUGGCCUCUAGGGCUUACACCAACAAUAUAAAGGUUCAAUAUAUAUAUAUAUAUAUAUAUAUAUAUAUAUAUAUAUAUAAGUAUAAUUUUUUUAGGCAUCUAUACCUUUUUUGAAUCAAAAUAAAAAUAAAAAAAUUUAUAAAAAUAAUCAUAUGUAUUAUGCAAUGCCAAAAAGAAUUAUACGCAUUAGCGUAACAAAAAAACCGACACACAAAAAGUAUUACUCUAAAUGUUAAUGUGUGUGUGUGUAUAUUAGCGAGGUUGAAGAAAGAAAAUAAAAAUAUUUUCUAUCAUUAAAUGACAGCGUGAAUAAAAAUAUUUGUGAGGUUGUGAUAAUUAAACGAUAUUGAAAUUAAAUAUAUAAGUGAUAAAAAGAUAAUAAAAUUCCUUUGAAAAAAGGUAGUAAAAUUAAGAGGAACAUCCUUAAACAAAAUAAAAUGGAACGGUUAAAAAAAAAAUUAAAUGGAAGAAAAAAACAUAUUGAAAUAUAAUAUUAAAAAAUAAAAGAAUAGGUUCCCAAUGUGAAUUGAAAAGAGAUGCUUCUGAAAUAAAUUGUCGAGAAGUAAACCAAGUUGCUUGGGCUCCAGUGGCAAGGAACUCCUUCCAAGGACGUACCCGAGGAAUAUCGGGUUUGAUUCCGAGGAGGAACAACGCACGAACCGGAUUAGUCGCCCACCUUAGGUGGGUCAAAAAUCGGUGCGAAAGCAAAAAAAAAAAUUAUCGAGAAGUAGUUUUGUGAAGUAACAUUCAAUAACUUUUGGCGAAAACUCAUUUCAUUCAAUUUUAUGCAUUAAAAAAAAGUACCUUUUUUAAUAAGUACUAAUUGAUUUUGUAUUUGGCUUAACUUCUCCUUAAAAAUAUAGAGAAGUUGAAAAACAACCGGGUCAAACGGUAUCUUAAUCUCCCACAACGGCGAUGUAGUAACAACUGAAUUUGGGAGAAAAAAUUGGAAAAUAGUUAAAAAAAAAAAAAAAAAAUUGGAAAAUAGUUAAAAGUUUUUAAAAAUAUAAAAAUUGGAAAAUAGCUAAAAAAAAUCGGUGAUAUAGCACUCAACGCAACACUAAAAAAAAUUAUAUGCAUUAGCAUAACAAAAAAAAAACAGACAGACGGACAUAAAAUAUUACUCUAUACAUUAAUGUGUUUGUGUAUAUUUGCGAGGUUGAAGAAAGGAAAUAAAAAUAUUUGGUAUCAUUUAGUGUGAAUAAAAACAUUUGUGAGGUUGUGAUGAUUAAACGAUAUUGAAAUUAAAUAUAUAAGUGAUAAAAAGAUAAUAAAAUUCCUUUGAAAAAAGAUAAUAAAAUUAAAUGGAACCUCCAUAAAAAAUUUAAUGGAAUGGUUCAAAAAAUAAAAUUAAAUGGAAAUUUUUUUUUAUUGAAAUAUAAUAUUAAAAAAUAAAAGAAAAUGUUCUCAGCGUGAGUUGAAAAGAGGUGUUUGUGAAAUAAAUUAUCGAUAAUUAUUUUUUUAAAGUAACUUUCAACAACUUUUUGGCCAAAGCUCAUUCCCUUCAAUUUUAGGCAUUCAAAAAAGUAUUUUUUUUUAUUAAGUACUUAAUUGAUAUUGCGUUNUAACCAAUUGAAUGGAUCACAACCAUUAUUUGAGAUAACUAAACUCGUCUCAUUAAAAACACUAUAUCUCUCCCAUAAUAACUUAAGUGGGCCAUUUCCACGUACAAUAGGCCAACUUUCUGAUCUAAAUGACUUACGUCUCUCUUCAAAUAAGUUGAAUGGUGUCAUUAAUGAAACACAUUUAUCAAACUUAUCUGAAUUGAAAUAUUUUGAUGUGACUCAAAAUUCACUUUCAUUCAACUUGAGUUCAGAUUGGGUUGCACCUUUCAAACUAGAAAUACUACAUGCAUCGUCAUGCCCGCUGGGUCCUAAAUUCCCAACAUGGCUCAAACAUCAAAGGGGGCUUACUUAUCUAAAUAUUUCUAAUUGUG
rnacentral:lncRNA from 1 species